CUCCAGUCCAAUGGGUUUAACUUUAAAUCAAUGAAGCGCGUUCUUCACUCUCUGGGCGGUUCCUGUGUCGAAAACGAAAGUAAAUUCGCUAAGAAAAUGCAUUUUGGAGACUUAAACGGAUGCAAUGAUGCUCCGCUGAGCCCAGCAGCAGAAGAAGAAGGUAACAGGCCCCUCUAGUGACCAACACUGGAAACAGCACAGUAAUUCCAAUAAUAACAUGAUUCACAGUGGAGAUGAUGACAAUCACAGCAGCAUUACAGCGAGAGAAGAGACACAUCAAGAAGACUGGUGUUUGUAGAGACUCGUGAUCAGCGUUAAUGUGACUGCAGUCACACACACACAUCUCACAGCAGACAGAAUUCACUCAAUCAAAUACACAUGUUUGAUUUGUUAUUAACUUUUACACAGAACUGGACUUUAUCUGAGGAUAUCAGCUAUAAGCGGAGUUCUUCAGAUGGAUUGAGGAGGGCAGCAGUGUGCCUUUGAUGCGUCUGUUCUGCUGCAAAUCACAGAAGAAGAAGAGGUUUCUGCGCAUGCACAUUCUUUACUCCUCUGAGGCAAAACUGAAAGUAAAUUAGACCGGUAAAUGCGGAAGUUUUGAAAAAUUAAAAAUUGUCAUAAACAUCACAUUAAGGUAAGUUCAUUUCUUGGCUUCUUAUAUAAAUUCAUAUUAUUGUAGUUUUCUCUGUCGUGUGUUAAAUCCGAUCUUUAAACUUUAACACAUUUAGUGAUUGUGUCACCUGUAAAAGUGGAUGAAGCUGCACGAGUUAAUUACGGAUUAAUUUAUGGAUUUUUUACAGUCGGAAAUAUAGGUUACCAAAGGAGGAAAUAAAGAUUGAAUCAGAAAGCACAAGCUUCUGCCCUGUUGAA